AGUAAGUUCCACCGCAGCUAGACCGCGGGGUGGUCGGCGCGAGGCGGAGCUUGGCAGUUCCGUCCACUUCAGCCGCAGCGUCCCUCGCCGGGUGUCUCGCCGCAGCCUCCGGAGAGGAACAGACCCUCACUCUCUCUGUCAGAAAAAUGUCUGCUCCAGCUCAGCCACCUGCUGAAGGGACAGAAGGGACUGCCCCAGGUGGGGGUCCCCCUGGCCCUCCUCCUAACAUGACCAGUAACAGACGACUACAGCAAACCCAGGCACAAGUGGAGGAGGUGGUGGACAUCAUACGUGUGAACGUGGACAAGGUCCUGGAGAGGGACCAGAAGCUGUCAGAGCUGGAUGACCGAGCUGAUGCCUUGCAGGCAGGAGCAUCACAAUUUGAGAGCAGUGCUGCAAAGCUAAAGAGGAAGUAUUGGUGGAAAAACUGCAAGCUUUCUCAGAUUGAAAUAUAUAUUUUUAAAUAACUGCAACUUUUGAGAAUGAGCUGAACACUUCACAGUGAAAAUUGAACUAAUUGGUUAAAUAUCCAGAGUCUGUAUCUCUAUUGGAAUGCCUUCUAAAG
rnacentral:sRNA from 1 species